AGCGAACGCUGGCGGCAGGCCUAACACAUGCAAGUCGAACGAAGCCUUCGGGCUUAGUGGCGGACGGGUGAGUAACACGUGGGAACGUACCUUUUGGUUCGGAACAACUCAGGGAAACUUGAGCUAAUACCGGAUGAGCCCUUAGGGGGAAAGAUUUAUCGCCGAAAGAGCGGCCCGCGUUAGAUUAGCUAGUUGGUGAGGUAAAGACUCACCAAGGCUACGAUCUAUAGCUGGUCUGAGAGGAUGAUCAGCCACACUGGGACUGAGACACGGCCCAGACUCCUACGGGAGGCAGCAGUGGGGAAUCUUGCGCAAUGGGCGAAAGCCUGACGCAGCCAUGCCGCGUGAAUGAUGAAGGUCUUAGGAUUGUAAAAUUCUUUUACCAGGGACGAUAAUGACGGUACCUGGAGAAAAAGCCCCGGCUAACUUCGUGCCAGCAGCCGCGGUAAGAC
rnacentral:rRNA from 1 species